rfam:Arabis alpina cultivar Pajares scaff_40079_1_contig_7, whole genome shotgun sequence.
AAAACAUGGUUAGUGCAGUCCCUAAUGUACUUCUUGAAACGUUCCAAUGCUUCAAAGGAUGACUUCAUGGCUCCUUUCUUGAAAUUAGAGAUUUUGUUCCUCAUGGA